CGGUAAUACGUAGGUGGCAAGCGUUGUCCGGAUUUAUUGGGCGUAAAGGGAGCGCAGGCGGUGAUUUAAGUCUGAUGUGAAAGCCCACGGCUCAACCGUGGAAUGGCAUUGGAAACUGGGUCACUUGAGUGCAGAAGAGGAAAGCGGAAUUCCACGUGUAGCGGUGAAAUGCGUAGAUAUAUGGAGGAACACCAGUGGCGAAGGCGGCUUUCUGGACUGCAACUGACACUGAGGCACGAAAGCGUGGGUAGCAAACAGGAUUAGAUACCCUGGUAGUCCACGCCGUAAACGAUGAGUACUAGGUGUCGGGGUUACCCCCCUCGGUGCCGCAGUAACGCAUUAAGUACUCCCCCUGGGAGUACNCNCCCAGUGUGAACUCAAGGAUUGACGGGGACCNCACANUAGCGGACAUGUGGUUUNUNC
rnacentral:rRNA from 1 species